rnacentral:rRNA from 2 species
AGACCCGAAACCCGGUGAUCUAGCCAUGGGCAGGUUGAAGGUUGGGUAACACUAACUGGAGGACCGAACCGACUAAUGUUGAAAAAUUAGCGGAUGACCUGUGGCUGGGGGUGAAAGGCCAAUCAAACCGGGAGAUAGCUGGUUCUCCCCGAAAGCUAUUUAGGUAGCGCCUCGUGAAUUCAUCUCCGGGGGUAGAGCACUGUUUCGGCUAGGGGGCCAUCCCGGCUUACCAACCCGAUGCAAACUGCGAAUACCGGAGAAUGUUAUCACGGGAGACACACGGCGGGUGCUAACGUCCGUCGUGAAGAGGGAAACAACCCAGACCGCCAGCUAAGGUCCCAAAGUCAUGGUUAAGUGGGAAACGAUGUGGGAAGGCCCAGACAGCCAGGAUGUUGGCUUAGAAGCAGCCAUCAUUUAAAGAAAGCGUAAUAGCUCACUGGUCGAGUCGGCCUGCGCGGAAGAUGUAACGGGGCUAAACCAUGCACCGAAGCUGCGGCAGCGAACGUAUCACCCAAGACAACUUUACGGAGUUGACGAUUGACGGAGCGAAGCGACGUCAAAGCGUUCAUUAAAGUCGAGUUGGCUUAGGGAUACGUUCGUUGGGUAGGGGAGCGUUCUGUAAGCCUGUGAAGGUGUGUCGUGAGGCAUGCUGGAGGUAUCAGAAGUG